CUUGCGCCUCUGUUUCAACGUGUGACCCCGCCCCUCCUUCGGACAGUCGGGGAUGAGUGCGCUAACAUACCUGUAGGUUGCUGUUUUAAUGAGUGUUUGAUGGAAAAAGACAGUCGCAUGAUAGGUCUGGACUUUGGGUCCUGCUAUCCUGCCUGCACACAGCCUACACAUGACAGAAAGUCCUCCUUUUUUUUGUACCUGAUGAGCAGUUACACAGUCUGUUUGGAAGCAGCUGUGACAUAGAGUUGCUGCAGUCAAUGGAUGCCAUGACAGACCUACAGCGACAGUGGUGGCUGGAUAAAUGUACUCAAAAUGCGUACCUCAUCACUCCGAAG